rnacentral:rRNA from 1 species
GGGCCCGCACAAGCGGUGGAGCAUGUGGAUUAAUUCGAAGCAACGCGAAGAACCUUACCAAGGCUUGACAUCCCUCUGAAUACUUAAGAAAUUAGGUAGGCCUUCGGGACAGAGGAGACAGGUGGUGCAUGGUUGUCGUCAGCUCGUGUCGUGAGAUGUUGGGUUAAGUCCCGCAACGAGCGCAACCCUUAUGUUCAGUAGCCAUCGGGUAGAGCCGGGCACACUGGAGAGACUGCCGUGGAUAACACGGAGGAAGGUGGGGAUGAGGUCAAAUCAUCAUGCCCCUUAUGCCUUGGGCAUCACACGUGCUACAAUGGCUCGUACAAAGUGAAGCAAAGCAGUGAUGUGGAGCAAAGCACAAAACGAGCCUCAGUUCGGAUUGAAGUCUGCAACCCGAUUCAUGAAGCUGGAAUCGCUAGUAAUCGCGGAUCAGCAUGCCG